rnacentral:rRNA from 1 species
GACGAACGCUGGCGGCGUGCUUAACACAUGCAAGUCGAACGGAAAGGCCCUGCUUGCAGGGUACUCGAGUGGCGAACGGGUGAGUAACACGUGUGUGAUCUGCCCUGCACUUCGGGAUAAGCCUGGGAAACUGGGUCUAAUACCGGAUAGGAGCCAUUUUUAGUGUGAUGGUUGGAAAGUUUUUUCGGUGUAGGAUGAGCUCGCGGCCUAUCAGCUUGUUGGUGGGGUAAUGGCCUACCAAGGCGGCGACGGGUAGCCGGCCUGGGAGGGUGGACGGCCACAUUGGGACUGGGGUACGGCCCAGACUCCUAAGGGAGGCAGGAGUGGGGAAUAUUGCAAAAUGGGGGCAAGCCUGAUGCAGCGAAGCCGCGUGGGGGAUGACGGCCUUCGGGUUGGAAACUCCUUUCGCGAGGGACGAAGCUUUUUGUGACGGUACCUAGAGAAGAAGCACCGGCUAACUACGUG